rnacentral:rRNA from 1 species
AUGAACGCUGGCGGCGUGCCUAAUACAUGCAAGUCGAGCGAACAGAUGAGGAGCUUGCUCCUCUGACGUUAGCGGCGGACGGGUGAGUAACACGUGGAUAACCUACCUAUAAGACUGGGAUAACUUCGGGAAACCGGAGCUAAUACCGGAUAAUAUAUUGAACCGCAUGGUUCAAUAGUGAAAGACGGUUUUGCUGUCACUUAUAGAUGGAUCCGCGCCGCAUUAGCUAGUUGGUAAGGUAACGGCUUACCAAGGCAACGAUGCGUAGCCGACCUGAGAGGGUGAUCGGCCACACUGGAACUGAGACACGGUCCAGACUCCUACGGGAGGCAGCAGUAGGGAAUCUUCCGCAAUGGGCGAAAGCCUGACGGAGCAACGCCGCGUGAGUGAUGAAGGUCUUCGGAUCGUAAAACUCUGUUAUUAGGGAAGAACAAAAGUGUAAGUAACUAUGCACGUCUUGACGGUACCUAAUCAGAAAGCCACGGCUAACUACGUG